rnacentral:rRNA from 1 species
UACGGGGGAUGCGAGCGUUAUCCGGAAUGACUGGGCGUAAAGGGUGUGUAGGCGGUUUAUUAAGUUAGAAGUGAAAUACCUAGGGCUUAACCCAGGUGCUGCUUCUAAAACUGAUAGACUUGAGUGCAGUAGAGGAAAGUGGAAUUCCUAGUGUAGCGGUGGAAUGCGUAGAUAUUAGGAGGAACAUCAGUGGCGAAGGCGACUUGCUGGACUGUAACUGACGUUGAGGCUCGAAGGCGUGGGGAGCAAACAGG